ACCGGAAGUUCGACGCAUCCCAAAGAAGCAAGAAUUUUGGAUAGAAGGUGUAAAAAAAAAAUCACAUGCAGAAACGGGGGUUCCUAUCUGCGUAGUGACCCGGCACAGUACGCAUAAGUGGUCCUACCGGCUUGCUCCCUUUGACGUCCUCGAAUGCUCAACCAAGAAGAAAGCGCUUAGCCGCAAUUAGCGGAGGAGAGAAUUUCAACUCGAGCUUCCACUUCAUACACGUAGCAGUCGUGUAACCGAACCUUCGGCUGAAGAGAUUUCCAAGGAAGUUCUCUACGACUCGUGUAACUACGGGCAACAACGUGCAACCUACAAUCGCCUGCCUAUUGGAUUUCAGUGCCCACCGGCGCACUGGAUCGCUUCCAUGGACAUCAGUGGCUCGAUGCUUCGCUGCUGGGCCUAUGGGCCACACCGUAUGUCAUACGCGGCUUUAACUAACGACCCUGAAAGAUCGUUGGCGCUUCUGUGGGCAAGGAGAGGCGCAUCGUUUGGGUCAUCAAACGGCAGCAACGGUAUCGUCGCAAUCAAGUUGGCUCCGAUAAAGGCUGAUGCACGAAAAAGAGAAGUCAAGGCUGGUUUACGAGUCGGGCCGAAGGGAGAAUUAUGCGCUUCUGUCUCUAGCGUUAUGUCUUUUCUUAUAAGAAGCUGCGGAUCGACUGAGAGCGUUAUAUAUAUAUAUAUAGCGAGAGGAACUGUAUUUUUUUGUUAUCGGAUGCUGACGAAUGAUUUACUUUACAACGUUCAGGAUAAC